CCUCUCGGUAACCAGUGUCCCUACAGCCUGCCAGCCCUCCUGGGGGUACAAGUUCAAGCUGCCUGCUCGUGGCUACAGGAACAUUCACUCCACACCUGGAUGUCUCCUCUCCUUUGAGCCCAUCCCCACUACACAGGGACCAGAUCUCCGUCUUCCGCUCUGCAGCCAGGGAAUCGCGCCUCCCCUCCCCACAGCCCUGAUCACCUGGCUGUCACUAUCUGUGGUGGGCCUGUGUCUUCCUCAUCCCGCCCCAGGAGCUUUCACAGGGCAGGGAUCAGAACCGACCCAACCCAGAAAGCCAGUGUCUCAGGAAUGAAGACGCCAUGCCAUCCUUCAAGCCCAGGUCCUUCACGGGGCCCUGGAGUCUCAGAACACUCACUGCGUGCUGCCUUCCUUGGCCUGAGGAUUCAGAAGCUUCUGCAGGAACUGAGCCCGGAGGGAGCAGGCUG